rnacentral:rRNA from 1 species
UCCCUACGGGAGGCAGCAGUAGGGAAUCUUCCACAAUGGACGAAAGUCUGAUGGAGCAACGCCGCGUGAGUGAAGAAGGGUUUCGGCUCGUAAAGCUCUGUUGGUAGUGAAGAAAGAUAGAGGUAGUAACUGGCCUUUAUUUGACGGUAAUUACUUAGAAAGUCACGGCUAACUACGUGCCAGCAGCCGCGGUAAUACGCAGGUGGCAAGCGUUGUCCGGAUUUAUUGGGCGUAAAGCGAGUGCAGGCGGUUCAAUAAGUAUGGUGUGGAAGGCUUCGGCUCACCCG